GUGUGUAUGGUGUAAAUAACACCCUAGCUUUUCAUGCUAAAAAUAUAUAUCUAUAUUACACAC
rnacentral:tRNA from 1 species